CUCUGCCUCGGGCCGCCGGGCUCCCACACCUCGGUCUCCCUGCGGGAAGAGCGUUGGAGACCCGGCUCUGGAGUGUAGAGAGAGACACAGCGAGAGAGGGAACACAAGCAGGGGGAGUGGGAGAGGGAGAAGCAGGCUCCCCGCAGAGCAGGGAGCCCGAUGCGGGACUCAAUCCCAGGACCGUGGGACCAUGACUCGAGCCAAAGGCAGUCGCUCAACCAACUGAGCCACCCAGGCGCCCCUGCUAUUGCGAAGAGUUCAGAUCCAGAAGUUGCUGCUCAUCACAGGGCUAUCUUUAGACGGGUGAGGUCCGGCGGGCUUUAGUCCAGAUUCCUUGCGAGAGUCCAAAUGCGAUCCUGGCCGGCUUCUGGCAGCAAGUAUCUGGCGAGGAAAACUUGUCCCUCUUUGGAGCGCGUGCAGCCGGACAGGCACCCAGGCUCGGGCCA